rnacentral:lncRNA from 1 species
AUUUUUUUCUAGAAAGUUUGGGCACUAAACUCAACCCGCUGAAUAUUUUUUUUUUAAUUUUUAUUGGAUUUCAUCUUUUUCAAUUUUUUUGACUUUUUUGACUGAUUUUUUUGUGGGAAAUAUUUUUUAAUAUUCAAUCGCAGUGCCACAAAUAUACAUGUCAAAUUUUAGAUCAAUCGGAAAAAUUUUACCCACUCGAAUGAAUUAUUUUCCAAAAAAUUUUCUGGGUAAAACUGCAGUUUGUUGUUUAAAAAAAAGAGAUCAGUUUAAAAAUCAACCAAGAAUACCCAAAACGCCCAAAAUCUG